rnacentral:rRNA from 1 species
CCUACGGGAUGCAGCAGUGGGGAAUAUUGCACAAUGGGGGAAACCCUGAUGCAGCCAUGCCGCGUGUGUGAAGAAGGCCUUCGGGUUGUAAAGCACUUUCAGCGGGGAGGAAGGCGAUAAGGUUAAUAACCUUGUCGAUUGACGUUACUCGCAGAAGAAGCACCGGCUAACUCCGUGCCAGCAGCCGCGGUAAUACGGAGGGUGCAAGCGUUAAUCGGAAUUACUGGGCGUAAAGCGCACGCAGGCGGUCUGUCAAGUCGGAUGUGAAAUCCCCAGGCUCAACCUGGGAACUGCAUUCGAAACUGGCAGGCUAGAGUCUUGUAGAGGGGGGUAGAAUUCCAGGUGUAGCGGUGAAAUGCGUAGAGAUCUGGAGGAAUACCGGUGGCGAAGGCGGCCCCCUGGACAAAGACUGACGCUCAGGUGCGAAAGCGUGGGGAGCAAACAGGAUUAGAUACCCGUGUAGUC